UGUUUUUCUAGGUCAAAUGAAUGGAC
rnacentral:piRNA from 1 species